CUUGCUGUGAGGCUGUGGUUUCGUUUGGUUUAUGUAAUCUUGGUUUAUUAGGUUACCCGGGACUUUUGUUUGGUGCUAUUUUUGGUUAAUAAAUCAAUCACUUCAUUUUGCAUUGACUUCUGCCUCCUGACAUAUUUUUGCUCACCACCAGUGCCGAACAGCCACACUUAAAUCCCAAUUUUGAGGUGGACUUACAAUCACUAAUGUUACAGGGUGAAAUGGGACUGAGCCUUGGUACGCUAGAGUGACGCUUGGGCCAAAUCCACCGAGACCUCACCAUGCACUAUAGCUUCGACUAUGCGCAGCAGGGGGCUCUGGAGGCUCAUGGGUGGCAGUAUCCAUACUCAGCGCAAUUUGAGUCAACCAGACAACAGGCUAACCUCCAAUUUCCGCAGCGGUCCGACAGCGGCACACACUACGCUGUAGUUCCCUACCACUCUAGUCAAUCGUUGUGUUCCCAGAGCGAGCACUGCGCUCCGUCUCCAGAGUGUGCCACCAGCGGCACUACCUGCCAGUGAAUCAGCCAGCUUCAAGCAGACCCUCAACAAACUGCAGGAUUUUGCGCCUCCGCAUUGGCUUCAUUAUUUUAUCACCACAGGUUGCCACACGGUCUGCACAGCGAGGUCAGAAUGCAUGAGACGUUGACGUCACUCACUGGCAGCGUGGGAGGGAGAGACCGAUAUUACAUGACAAACUGUGUUCAACAGAGACACUCACCGUCAUCAACAAGUCUGCAGUCAGCAGAGCAAACUGUGAAUUAUGACUAAGCUUAACACAUAAUCCAACAUAAAAAACACAACUGCAGCGAUGAAUGAAGGGAGAACCGAGAGAAAUAUCUGACAGUUUAUGCACAAAUUAAAGCUUAACACAUCACUCAGAGCAGAAAAGAUCUGAAUGU